rnacentral:rRNA from 1 species
GUCGAGAAUCUUCGGCAAUGGGCGAAAGCCUGACCGAGCGACGCCGCGUGGUGGAAGAAGGCCCUCGGGUUGUAAACACCUGUUGGGGGGAAGGAAAUUUUGACCGAACCCCUGAGGAAGCACGGGCUAAGUUCGUGCCAGCAGCCGCGGUAAUACGAACCGUGCGAACGUUAUUCGGAAUCACUGGGCUUAAAGAGCGCGUAGGCGGCGUCGUAAGUUGGAGGUGAAAUCCCAUCGGCUCAACCGUGGAACUGCCCCCAAUACUGCGAUGCUCGAGGGAGGUAGGGGCAUGUGGAACUUCCGGUGGAGCGGUGAAAUGUGUUGAGAUCGGAAGGAACGCCAGUGGCGAAAGCGACGUGCUGGAUCUCUUCUGACGCUGAGGCGCGAAAGCUAGGGGAGCGAACGGG